rnacentral:lncRNA from 1 species
UGACAGGUGGUAAACCUGACAACUCGCCUGGGAAAACAACUAAGAACUCUCUAACUAUUACCACUGAGGCUGGUUCCCUGACCUGACUGCAAAACUUUCAAACAAGAGCUAGAACCCUCUGACAACCCCUCCUACGUACCCUACGAACCUGAUAGGCUAACAUCAAACCUCUAGGCAUCCCUACUGUGUUCCCUCAGAAGAA